rnacentral:rRNA from 1 species
GGCGUGCCUAACACAUGCAAGUCGAACGGUAACAGGUCUUCGGAUGCUGACGAGUGGCGCACGGGUGAGUAACGCGUGGAUAUCUGCCUAUUAGUGGGGGACAACUUGUGGAAACGCAAGCUAAUACCGCAUAAUCCCUACGGGGGAAAGCAGGGGACCUUCGGGCCUUGUGCUGAUAGAUGAGUCCGCGUCUGAUUAGCUAGUUGGUAGGGUAAAGGCCUACCAAGGCGAUGAUCAGUAUCUGGUUUGAGAGGAUGAUCAGACACACUGGAACUGAGACACGGUCCAGACUUCUACGGAAGGCAGCAGUGGGGAAUAUUGCACAAUGGGCGCAAGCCUGAUGCAGCGACGCCGCGUGUGGGAAGAAGGCUUUAGGGUUGUAAACCACUUUCAAUUGGGAAGAAGAGAUGAGAGUUAAUAACUUUCUGAUUUGACGGUACCUUUAGAAGAAGCACCGGCUAAUUUCGUGCCAGCAGCCGCGGUAAUACGAAAGGUGCAAGCGUUGUUCGGAUUUACUGGGCGUAAAGAGAGUGUAGGUUGUUUAUUAAGUCGGAUGUGAAAUCCCGGGGCUCAACCUCGGAACUGCAUUCGAUACUGGUAGACUAGAGUUCGGGAGGGGUAAGCGGAAUUCCGUGUGUAGCAGUGAAAUGCGUAGAUAUACGGAGGAACACCUGAGGCGAAGGCGGCUUACUGGACCGAUACUGACACUGAGACUCGAAAGCGUGGGUAGCAAACAGGAUUAGAUACCCUGGUAGUCCACGCCCUAAACGAUGUCAACUAGCCGUUGCGGGUAUCGACCCCUGCAGUGGCGAAGCUAACGCGAUAAGUUGACCGCCUGGGGAGUACGGUC